rnacentral:rRNA from 1 species
AUUGAACGCUGGCGGCAGGCCUAACACAUGCAAGUCGAACGAGUGGCGGAGGGGUGAGUAAUGUCUGGGAAACUGCCCGAUGGAGGGGGAUAACUACUGGAAACGGUAGCUAAUACCGCAUAUCAUCGGAUUUGCCCAGAUGGGAUUAGCCAGUGGGUGGGGUAAAGGCUCACAUAGGCGACGAUCCCUCGCGGGUCUGAAAGGAUGACCAGCCACACUGGAACUGAGACACGGUCCAGACGCCUACGGGAGGCAGCAGUGGGGAAUAUUGCACAAUGGGCGCAAGCCUGAUACAGCCAUGCCGCGUGUAUGAAGAAGGCCUUCGGGUUGUAAAGUACUGUCAGCGGGGAGGCGUUACCCGCAGAAGAAGCACCGGCUAACUCCGUGCCAGCAGCCGCGGUAAUUC